AUAUAAGUAGGCGGUGGAAAAUGAACCAAAUGGGAUUCCUUAAGUAAUUGCGAAUGAACAAGGAACUGCUCAGCUUKAAAAUUGGGGCCUUCGGCCUUGAAUUGUAAUUUUGAAAUGUAUUGCCAAUGGAGGCGCAGGUGCAAGCCUAUUGAAAGAAAGCGUCAAUGAGGGUGAGAUUCCUUUUUGUCAUUUGCAGUCCUCCGUGCACGGUAUAUAUUUGACGAGUCACACUCCUUGGCAUUGGAAUGCAAAGUGGGUGGUAAAUUCCAUGUAAAGGAAAAUAUAUUAUUGAGACUGAUAGCAMACAAGUACCAUGAGGGAAAUAUGAAAAGGACUUUGAAAAGAGAAUUAAAAGAGUCUGCAUUUGCUGAACAGAAAGCAAACAGAAUUGAUCUACUUGGUGAGAUUGUUGCGUCCACUUGUGGGUGCAAUGGUUCUUGCCUUGAAUGUCAGCGUCUAUUUCUGCAAAUUAUUACCCUUGCAUAUGAAUUGUAAUUUGCCUGUGGGCAUUGGAAUGCAUGUGUUUGCAAUGAUUUGUGAUUUGAUACAUGUGUCUGGUGUUCGCGUGUGUGCCUUCUUGCUAACACGGGGAGGGCUCUCCUCCCUGGGCACUGCAUG
rnacentral:rRNA from 1 species